rnacentral:rRNA from 1 species
UACGUAGGGAGCAAGCGUUGUCCGGAAUCAUUGGGCGUAAAGAGCGUGUAGGCGGUCCUGUAAGUCCGCUGUGAAAGUCAAGGGCUCAACCCUUGAAUGCCGGUGGAUACUGCAGGACUAGAGUCCGGAAGAGGCGAGUGGAAUUCCUGGUGUAGCGGUGAAAUGCGCAGAUAUCAGGAGGAACACCGAUGGCGAAGGCAGCUCGCUGGGACGGUACUGACGCUGAGGAGCGAAAGCGUGGGGAGCGAACAGG